GACGAACGCUGGCGGCGUGCUUAAUCCAUGCACGUGGAACGCUGAAGGAGGAGCUUGCUUCUCUGGAUGAGUUGCGAACGGGUGAGUAACGCGUAGUUAACCUGCCUGGUAGCGGGGGACAACUAUUGGAAACGAUAGCUAAUACCGCAUAAGAGUCGCUGUUGCAUGACAUUUGCCUGACAGGUGCAAUUGCAUCACUACCAGAUGGACCUGCGCUGUCUUAGCUAGUUGGUGGGGUAACGGCUUACCAAGGCGACGAUACAUAGCCGAGCUGAGAGGGUGAGCAGCCACACUGAGACUGAGACACGGCGCAUGCCCCUACGAGAGGCAGCAGUAGGGGAACGUCAGAGAUGGACGGAAAGCCAGCCGAGCCACGCCGCGUGAGUGAAGAAGGUGUUCGGAUCGUAAAGAGCGGUUGGAAGAGAAGAAAGAGUGUGGGAGGGGAAAGUUCACACGGUGACGGUAUCUUACCAGAAAGGGACGGCUAACUACGUG
rnacentral:rRNA from 1 species